UUGGAUAGUUUCUGUUGUCAGUAUGAUUUAAAAAUAGCAAACACAUUUGUUUGAUAAUAAAAGGCUUCACCUAAACGCUAGCCACAAGUGAAAGAAAAGUUUUUGUAUUAUUAUUCAUAUUCUCCGAAAAAUGGCCAAAGACUCAUAAAUUCUGCUAAGGUAUGUAAACUUAUGAGCACAACUGUAUAUGUCAGACUCUUACAUUU